rnacentral:tRNA from 1 species
GGGAAUGUAGCUUAGUGGUAGAGUGCUUGCCUAGCAUGCAGGAAGUCCUGGGUUUGAUUCCUCAGUACCA